rnacentral:rRNA from 1 species
UUUCUUAAUUAUCAUAAUUUUUAUGAUAUUUUUUUUAUUCUCUUAGAAUUAAAGAAAGAGUAAAAUCUUCUUUUCUUUUUAUAAAAAAAUUUAUCAGAAAUUUUUUAAAAAAAAUAAAAACGGAAAUUAUUUAUAAAUCCAAAUUACUUGGCAGCUAGAUAAAUAAUUAGGGGAAUCUGUUCUUUAAUUGACUCUUCACAAUAAAAUUAACCUAACUCUAUGAUUUAUAUAUCACCGAUAAAAAAAAAUCUUUUUUCUUUUCUUCUUUCAAGAAAAUACCAGGUCAAGAUAUAAUCUAUAUUUAGGGAUGAAAUGGAUUACAAUUUUUUUCUAAAUACGAAUUUCUACAUGAAAACAAAAUGAAGGUGGACUUAAUAGUAAAAAUUUAUCACUAAGAUUUAUUGAAUCAAUAUUUUUCAA